rnacentral:misc_RNA from 1 species
CAACCUCAAAAAGACAAUGGA